UCCUCUCCCGUGCUGCCGCCGCCCCCAUCUCCCGACCUCUUCUUCGGGCGCGGCCGCAGGAGCAUCUCCACCUCUCCACUCCCUCACGCAACAGCACUCCAAACCCCCACCCCCACGCCCGGCUGCCGCUAGGGUUUCUUACCCUCGCUGCCCCGCCGCGACUCGUGUUGCGGGCAGUGAGGAUGGGAGCGGGUCGGUCGUGUCGCUUAGUGGGUGGAUGGUUGGGGAACGGCGGAUCCAGGCCCUGGCGUGGUCCUCUCCCUUCAACUCGCGCCGCCGACCUGGGCUCCCUCUUCUUCCACGGCCACAGCCUGGGGUUGCUGCCGGCUAGACGAAUAAUUAUGUGCAGGCUGCCACGACAAAGGGUUUGACUCCUACACCAAUCUCAUCAAGGCUGCUGUUCUUGACACUCCUGAUGUUGUUUUUCAGAGCAAUGCCACGCUAAGGGUGACAACCUGCUAUGGGGUGGUUCUCUUAUUGAACAUGUUUUAUAUUUCUGCAGAAUUAUGUGAUGGAGCCUUGAUAUGUACCAUGACUUAAGUUCUGGACGUGCAUCGAGUAAAUGCAGCAGCCUUGAUGUUUGAAGUUACAGGGGCAUGGACUCUAAUUUGCAACCACAAAGUUUAUACCGUUGUUGUGUGGGUCAGUCUGGGAAAUUUGCACAUCCAACUAUUUGAUCUGGGAAAUGCAACGCCUCGCCACAGAAGGGGGCUAGCCCGUCCAUGCUCACCGGUCUGGUUGUCUGGGGGCGAGGAGGGGGCGCAGCCGCGCCCGGAGGAGGUCAUCUCGGCGCCCGCAUCCUCGUCGUCUACAUUGCCCACACAGCAGGUCGUCGCUGCUGAUUAGAUCCUCUUGAAAAUAGUUAAUUUAAACUCAAGUAAAAAAAUCCCAUGUUGUUUGCUGGCCUCUUUUGAAGUUUAUUCUAACUUGCUAUUGAUUAGAUCCUCUUGCAGUUAUGUUGUGUUGUUCCAUAAAUUGCAGGCUUGAUGUAUAUAUCUAUGACUGUUUUCCCAAGAAUAACAUGCAGACGACGGCCAACGCAUUCAUGGUGGAGGGAAAGAUUGGUGUUGAUCCUGUUUGUAAGUUUCCCCCACGUACUGUUGUUAUUUAUGCUUGAUUAUGUAUGGUAUUUUCUUGAUUUGGUAACUGGAUAUACCUGCAUUAUUGUUGCCAGGCCAAGAUUUUCAAGAAACUUACAUUAAGCA